rnacentral:rRNA from 1 species
AUUGAACGCUGGCGGCAGGCUUAACACAUGCAAGUCGAGCGGAGCGAGGGUGCUUGCACCUUAGCUUAGCGGCGGACGGGUGAGUAAUGCUUAGGAAUCUGCCUAUUAGUGGGGGACAACAUUCCGAAAGGAAUGCUAAUACCGCAUACGCCCUACGGGGGAAAGCAGGGGAUCUUCGGACCUUGCGCUAAUAGAUGAGCCUAAGUCGGAUUAGCUAGUUGGGGGGGUAAAGGCCUACCAAGGCGACGAUCUGUAGCGGGUCUGAGAGGAUGAUCCGCCACACUGGGACUGAGACACGGCCCAGACUCCUACGGGAGGCAGCAGUGGGGAAUAUUGGACAAUGGGCGGAAGCCUGAUCCAGCCAUGCCGCGUGUGUGAAGAAGGCCUUUUGGUUGUAAAGCACUUUAAGCGAGGAGGAGGCUACUUAGAUUAAUACUCUGGGAUAGUGGACGUUACUCGCAGAAUAAGCACCGGCUAACUCUGUGCCAGCAGCCGCCGUAAGAC